AUCGCUUCUCGGCCUUUUGGCUAAGAUCAAGUGUAGUAUCUGUUCUUAUCAGUUUAAUAUCUGAUACGUCCCCUAUCUGGGGACCAUAUAUUAAAUGGAAUUUUGGAACAGGGAGAUGGAAGAAGAGCUUGCUCUGUCCACUCCACGCAUCGACCUGGUAUUGCAGUACCUCCAGGACCGGUGCACCUCUC
rnacentral:snRNA from 1 species